rnacentral:sRNA from 1 species
CUAAAUCAUAGAUGAAAAUUCGUUCAUUGAAUGACAAACUUGUGAUCAAGAUGAGCUAGAAUUUCUCCCCCGGGGAAAGCUGAUUUGG